rnacentral:rRNA from 1 species
UACGGAAGGGGCUAGCGUUGUUCGGAAUUACUGGGCGUAAAGCGCACGUAGGCGGCUUUGUAAGUUAGAGGUGAAAGCCCGGGGCUCAACUCCGGAAUUGCCUUUAAGACUGCAUCGCUAGAAUUGUGGAGAGGUAAGUGGAAUUCCGAGUGUAGAGGUGAAAUUCGUAGAUAUCCGAAAGAACACCGGUGGCGAAGGCGACUCGCUGGGCUCUUGCUGACACUGAAUCACGACAGCGUGGGGAGCAAACAGG